CACCAGCAUUUCAUCUGCAAAAUCCUCUUUUUGUUCCUUCCAUAGCUCGAGACUCGUUAUUUCCGCACCCAAUGGUCCAUUCGAAAGAAGCAGCUUUCAAAAGAGACUCUACAUUUACCAUACUUCAACGCUCCUUCGCGCUGAUAUCAGUAUCAGUGCACCCUGUCUCGCGUCGCCUUCCUCACAGUUUCCCGAUUCUCAUUUUCCGCAAGGAAUGUCUAUCGCAGACCCCCCUUCAAGGCUCGUUUUUACCCAAAUCGUGUGCCCUCAAGCCUGUAUCAGGACACCUGAGUAUGCAGCACAUGGCCGGCCGUAACUGGAGGCACGACCUAGCCGGGGGAAUGAGCUUCGGAACUUAACCCUAAGAUAAGAUCUGGUUACAGUAUUGCGUCAGUUGUUCGACAUGUCUUUUAGGCCGGCGGAUGAAUUGCUGUUUUGCCCGCCGCUGAAAAGCGGCCAGGCGGAGUGCGAGUCGUUUGCAGGCGGACUGACGGGAAGAACUGUCCAGUCGCCGUAUGGCGCGCAAGAGAAAGGUGCCAUGAGUCUAUUUGGUAAGAGCCUCUGGUCCGAGGACGCUCGUCAGCCCUAUCUACUGGAACUAGGACGUCGGUCAAGUAUAGCCAGUUCUGAAGAUGCUGUCAGAAAAACCAAAAGAACAUAGUCAUGUCGGUAAAUGGCCAUUGCUGACGUGCACCACUGUUUGCGGGUCGAGACAGGUCGACAGAAAGAGUAGAGCCAGGCACUGGGCACAUACGAUCAGCUGCUGCGUUUCCCUUAUCAUAUCAAUGGACUGCCUUGUCGGAAUCACUUGCCCGGUGCAUGUGUAACGAGGAGUGCGUGGACACAAACAGAAACGCUUCGCUGAUGGACCUUUCCACCAGACUUGAAAUGCUCUCGGAUCUCUAAAUGCGACCUAGAAGCAUUCGCCUGCCUACAAUUUUGACUACAUCUUUAUUGACGAGCACUUGGGACCACAUCUGGGGUAAAACCUAAGAUGUGUGAUGUUAUCACAUCAGGCUUGGCCAGGCGCAUUAACUUUCCAUUGCAAACACUAGUGAGCAAUGACGAAAGACGCCAGUCACUCGUUGUGGUAUCUUCUGGUACUCAACAAUUUCCUCGGCUCGCCUUCCGAAAGGAAGGGAUCGAGAUGAAAGCGUGGUUUUUAUGGAUGUCUUUUGUCCGCGCGUUAUUGCCCUCCUUACCCGCAUUUACACCGCAUGAUGGAGAGGAUACAAAAACUAGUCCUCGUUGGCAGCGAACAACAUACAGAAGGAGCUUGUUGACUUUAUCGGUUGUUGAGUCUUGCUUUGCUGCGGUCCGUUAUGGUCGAGUCAAAGAAAGCUACGGAACCACGCCGGAAUACUUGAGUCUAAAUACGUGCCGACUCCCUCCCCGCUCUCUCGACGUCGAUUACCCUAUUGAAUUUAGUUCUGGGACCCAUCUCGAGUUGGAGUCAAAGUUUCGUACUUGUCUGGAACUGAGGGAGAUGGAGUCAUUGGCAUGAGAGAUGGAUGGUGGGUAGCGAACAAUUGGAACUCAACCGAUUGGUUUUCAAGGACAGGCCGCACAAGGAUAAGGCAGUCCUGGUUGUCUUCGUGCCAGCAAUGGUAGGAAGACAACCCCCCACCGGCGAGG
rfam:Pochonia chlamydosporia 170 chromosome 1, whole genome shotgun sequence.